rnacentral:rRNA from 1 species
GACGAACGCUGGCGGCGCGCUUAACACAUGCAAGUCGAGCGAUGAAAUCUUGACAGAUCCCUUCGGGGUGAAGAUAAGAUGGAUUAGCGGCGGACGGGUGAGUAACACGUGAGUAACCUGCCUUAGACAUUGGGAUAGCCUCGGGAAACCGGGAUUAAUACCAAAUGAAAUCAUAGGUGCCCAUGCACUACUGAUCAAAACUCCGGUGGUCUAAGAUGGACUCGCGUCCCAUUAGCUAGUUGGUGAGGUAAUGGCCCACCAAGGCGACGAUGGGUAGCCGGCCUGAGAGGGUGAACGGCCACAUUGGAACUGAGAAACGGUCCAAACUCCUACGGGAGGCAGCAGUGGGGAAUAUUGCACAAUGGAGGGAACUCUGAUGCAGCGACGCCGCGUGAACGAUGAAGGCUUUCGAGUCGUAAAGUUCUUUUAUAUGGGAAGAUAAUGACGGUACCAUAAGAAAAAGCCCCGGCUAACUACGUG